AUUGAACGCUGGCGGCAUGCCUUACACAUGCAAGUCGAACGGUAACAGGUCUUCGGAUGCUGACGAGUGGCGAACGGGUGAGUAAUGCAUCGGAACGUGCCCAGUAGUGGGGGAUAGCCCGGCGAAAGCCGGAUUAAUACCGCAUACGACCUGAGGGUGAAAGGGGGGGAUCGCAAGACCUCUCGCUAUUGGAGCGGCCGAUGUCAGAUUAGCUAGUUGGUGGGGUAAAGGCCUACCAAGGCAACGAUCUGUAGUUGGUCUGAGAGGACGACCAGCCACACUGGGACUGAGACACGGCCCAGACUCCUACGGGAGGCAGCAGUGGGGAAUUUUGGACAAUGGGCGCAAGCCUGAUCCAGCAAUGCCGCGUGCAGGAAGAAGGCCUCGGUUGUAACUGCUUUGUUCAGGAAGAAAUCUUCUGGGUUAAGUACCUCGGAGGAGUGACGGUACCUGAAGAAUAAGCACCGGCUAACUACGUGCCAGCAGCCGCGGUA
rnacentral:rRNA from 1 species